rnacentral:rRNA from 1 species
CCGGCACGGGUGAGUAACACGUAUCCAACCUGCCGUCUACUCUUGGACAGCCUUCUGAAAGGAAGAUUAAUACAAGAUGGCAUCAUGAGUCCACAUGUUCACACGAUUAAAGGUAUUCCGGUAGACGAUGGGGAUGCGUUCCAUUAGAUAGUAGGCGGGGUAACGGCCCACCUAGUCUUCGAUGGAUAGGGGUUCUGAGAGGAAGGUCCCCCACAUUGGAACUGAGACACGGUCCAA